UCUUCACUAGUAUAUCGGUUAGUAUAUCCGCCUGUCAUUGGGAUCUGCUUGGUCAUCUUGACCGCGGGUGAGCUGGGUUCGACUCCCAGGUGGAGAG